rfam:Sus scrofa chromosome 2.
UUCCUGGUGAUCUAGUGGUUAGGACACAGCACUUUCAUUGCUGUGGCCCAGGUUUGAUUCCCUGGUCUGGGAA